rnacentral:ncRNA from 1 species
AAGUCGGCAAAUUGGAUCCGUAACUUCGGAAUAAGGAUUGGCUCUGAGGAGCGGGGCAUGUCGAGAUUGGUCGGGAAGCGAGUCUGGCUGAUGUGCAGGGCCUGGGCGAGAUGAUCGGCCGGCGUUCUCGCGCCGGUCCCGGGAUCCGAGUUCGGUUCCGUGACUUGGCCUCUCGCGGAUCUUCCUUGCUGCGAGGCUUUCGUGGCGGCGCGAGCCGUCAUGGUCGUCCUCUUCGGCCGCCAUUCAGCGCUCAGCUCAGAACUGGCACGGAUUAGGGGAAUCCGACUGUCUAAUUAAAACAAAGCAUUGCGAUGGCCCUCGCGGAUGUUGACGCAAUGUGAUUUCUGCCCAGUGCUCUGAAUGUCAACGUGAAGAAAUUCAAGCAAGCGUGGAACGGCGGGAGUAACUAUGACUCUCUUAAGGGAAAGCAUAGUUAAGACGUGAUGCGCAAUU